rnacentral:lncRNA from 1 species
UUUUUUUUUCAUUUUUUUUUUAGGCGAAGUAUUUCUUGACUGCAUCUGAAUUCACAAGACGAGUGAAAUCCUCCCCAUCCAUUGUUGUAAGCAUCAAAGCACCGCCUGAAAAGGCUCUCUUAACAACAUAUGGACCCUCAUAGUUUGGAGUCCACUUGCCCCUGGAAUCGGGCGCGAAAGACAAAACUUUCUUGAGCAC